GAUGAAGAACGUAGCGAAAUGCGAUACUUGGUGUGAAUUGCAGAAUCCCGUGAGCCAUCGAGUCUUUGAACGCAAGUUGCGCCCGAAGCCAUUAGGCCGAGGGCACGCCUGCCUGGGCGUCACACGUCGUUGCCCCCCCAUCUACUCCUUCGGGAUUGCGGGGGGCGGAUGAUGGCCUCCCGUGCGCCUCGUCGCGCGGUUGGCAUAAAUGCCAAGUCCUCGGCGACGCACGCCACGACAAUCGGUGGUUGCGAAACCUCGGUUGCCCGUCGUGUGCGGUCGUCGCGCAUCGAGGGCUCGAAAAAAUUGCCGGGCUCCGGCUCGGCUUUCAACGCGACCCCAGGUCAGGCGGGGUUACCCGCUGAAUUUAAGCAUAUCAAUAAGCGGAGGA
rnacentral:misc_RNA from 1 species